rnacentral:rRNA from 1 species
UACGUAGGGGGCAAGCGUUGUCCGGAUUUAUUGGGCGUAAAGAGCGUGUAGGCGGCUUUACAGGUCCGUUGUGAAAACUCGAGGCUCAACCUCGAGACGCCGGUGGAAACCGUAAAGCUAGAGUCCGGAAGAGGAGAGUGGAAUUCCUGGUGUAGCGGUGAAAUGCGCAGAUAUCAGGAGGAACACCCGUGGCGAAGGCGGCAUCCUGGACCGGCAUUGACGCUGAGGCGCGAAAGCCAGGGGAGCAAACGGG